rnacentral:rRNA from 1 species
GCAAGAGCUCAAAUUUGAAAUCCGGCCCCCCUGGGGGCCUGAGUUGUAAUUUGCAGAGGAUGCUUCGGGCGCGACCGCGGUCCAAGUCCCCUGGAACGGGGCGUCGUAGAGGGUGAGAAUCCCGUCUCCGGCCGGCCGGUCUCGCCCGUGUGAAGCUCCUUCGACGAGUCGAGUUGUUUGGGAAUGCAGCUCCAAAUGGGUGGUAAAUUUCAUCUAAAGCUAAAUACUGGUCGGAGACCGAUAGCGCACAAGUAGAGUGAUCGAAAGAUGAAAAGCACUUUGAAAAGAGAGUUAAACAGCAUGUGAAAUUGUUGAAAGGGAAGCGCUUGCGACCAGAGUCGGCCGCGGGGGUUCAGCGGGCAUUCGUUGCCCGUGCAAUCCCCCGCGGCCGGGCCAGCGUCGGUUUCGACGGCCGGUCAAAGGCCCCCGGAAUGUGUCGCCUCUCGGGGCGUCUUAUAGCCGGGGGUGCAAUGCGGCCAGUCGGGACCGAGGAACGCGCUCC